UACAGAGGGUGCAAGCGUUGUUCGGAAUCAUUGGGCGUAAAGGGCGCGUAGGCGGUGAGUUAAGUCAAAUGUGAAAGCCCAGGGCUCAACCUUGGAAGUGCAUCUGAAACUGGCUCACUUGAAUCUCGGAGAGGGUGGUGGAAUUCCCAGUGUAGAGGUGAAAUUCGUAGAUAUUCGGAAGAACACCAGUGGCGAAGGCGGCUCACUGGUCCGGUACUGACGCUGAGGUGCGAAAGCGUGGGGAGCAAACAGG
rnacentral:rRNA from 1 species